rnacentral:lncRNA from 1 species
GCAAAACGCACCGGAUUCGCGCCCUCCCCGGAGUUCUGGCCAGGAGGCUCUGGCUGGAUUCCAGUUGUUACAGAGCUCGCUGGAGACUUCCUUCUCCCUGUGGCAUUUUCCCCGCUCCUCUGGCCGCCGAAGGAGUCCUGUGGUGCCGGGCAGGAAUGGGCUGCUUGGGGACCCAACGAGCUCCCAGAGCCUUUCCUGCUGCUUCCUCUACCCCUGUGUUUCGCUAGGCUCUCGAGAUGGACUCAGUUCCAGAUUGCCCAGCCUCACAUAUUCCUUCAUAGCAACACAAAGGGACUGAGACAAUAUAUAAGUUAACAUCUGCCAUGUAGUGGAGGUUCCAGAGAAAAAGUGAGAGAAGCUGAGUCUGCACCCUCAACAUGGAGGAAAUAAGCUCUCUUAGGACCAAGAACAGAGGACAGAGGAAGGACUCCAGCAUGAUGGGCACCAAGGGAUUUUGGUCCUUCUGAGAAAGAGGAGAGACAGGGUCUUCCUCUUUGCCUAAGCUGGAGCGCAUUGGUGUGAUCAUCGCUCACUGCUGCCUCAAACUCCUGGGCUCAUGCGACCCUCCCACCUCAGCCUCCUGACUAGUUGGGACUACAGAAUUGGUUCCUUCCAGUGAGUUCUUGGUCUCGCUGACUUCAAGAAUGAAGCCACAGACCUGUGCGAUGAGUGUUACAGCUCUUAAAGAUGGUGUGUCCAGAGUUUGUUCCUUCAGAUGUUCAGAUGUGUCCGGAGUUUCUUCCUUCUGGUGGGUUUGUCCUCUCGCUAACUUCCAAGAAUGAAGCCGUGGACGUUCACAGUGAGUAUUAGACCUCCUCAGGUUAGUGUGGACCCAAAGAGUGAGCGGCAGCAAGAUUUAUUAAGAGCAAAAGAACAAAGCUUCCACAACACGGAAAGGGACCCAAGCUGGUUGCCUCUGCUGGCUCGGGUGGCCAGGUUUUAUUCCCUUAUUUGGCCCCGCCCACAUUCCGCUGACUGGUCCAUUUUACACAGUGCUGAUUGGUCCAUUUUACAGAGUGCUGAUUGGUGCAUUUUUACAGAGUGCUGAUUGGUGUGUUUACAGUCCUUUGGCUAGACACAGAGUGCUGAUUGGUGUGUUUUUACAGAGUGCUGAUUGGUGCAUUUACAAUCCUUUAGCUAGACUCAGAGUGCUGAUUGGUGCGUUUUUACAGAGUGCUGAUUGGUGCGUUUACAAUCCUUUAGUUAGAUGCAGAGUGCUGAUUGGUGCGUUUACAAUCCUUUAGCUAGACACAGAGCACUGAUUGGUGCGUUUACAGUCCUUUAGCCAGACAGAAAAGUUCUCUAAGUCCCCACUCUACCCAGGAAGUCCAGCUGGCUUCACUUCUCAAUAUACGCAUUCCCUAUUUAAUUUUCCCAUUUUCUUGCGAUGCUUCUGUGUUUUGGCUUUGUGGAAAUCCAUUCUGCAUGCAAUACAGAACACAAAUUUGGCAAAAACAGUACUGGUGAUCAAAAAGCAGCACUGUUGCAUAAGUGUCUUCUUAUCCUACUAUGCACAUAAUUAUUUUCAAACUAGUCAGUAACUUAGCUGGCUUCCUCAGGCAAAUGCAGCUUUAAUUUAUUAAAAGCCCUGGAAUAUCAUCAGCUGGAAGGAAUGCCAACACAGGUAAAUGAGGCAUUUUUAAACUGACGUUUUCAUUCUUGCCGUGUUGUGCAGGCAAUCUACUCAUUUGAAUUUUUCUCCAAAUGCAUUGAGCUGAAUGGAAAAAAACAAACUUUAUUGGUAACACCCUGAAAUCCACUCUUGGAAAUCUUGAUUGCACCUAAUUCCAAAUCUGUCACUAUAGUUGGGGAUUCAACUGAAAUCCAUUUUCUUCUUUAUAAAGACAAUAACAAGGUAAUAGUUCUGCCUAACAUGAUGUGACUUUCCUGCGAUGGUGAUUUUCCAAAUUUUAAAUGUUUAGAAUUUUAGAUGAUAGGGAUUUAGAUUUUAGAGAUUUUGAUCUUUUAGGAUUUCAACAUUCAGGAUUAUGGCACUCAGUAUUGCGUCCUUUGAUAUUAUGAUCCAAACCCUUUCGCUUCAUAAAAAACUGUGAAACAGCUUUUUCUGUGCAUUAAAAAAAAGUUUCAAGGUGGAGUUUCUUACAUUAAGAGAAUCUUUUUAAAGAAAAUGUGUGGUGGAGAAAUUUUCGAGGAGGACAUCUUUAUCUAAUCAUUUCUAGUAAGCAAACUUUCUCUACUAGGUCAAGAUCUAAGCAAACACACAAAUGUGAACAACAGGGAAAGAACCCAUUGACCUACCAAGACAGGCUGCCAACAGAAUUUUGAAGGCUUGCCAAGAUGCUUUUAUGGAGGUAGAGUGAAUGAGAUUCCGUAAGUGCAAAAUAAUCCUUUUAAGACUACCCAGAAAGUAAUAUAAGUGAACUAGUUAUAUAAGAUUCAGUGAGGACUACCAAAACAUUGGGAAGAAAUGUGGAUUUUAUCAUUCAAGGAAAUAUAAUUUUAUUGUAAGAUAUAAUCUUUGUUUUUGUAGUCAAAUAGAAACAUUCAUGCCUUAAUACAACGUUUGGUAAAAAGAACUGAAGAAGACACCAUAGAAGAUUUUAACAAACAAUGAACUCAUUAGCUAAAAGAUUUGUCAUGAAAUAAUGAUUGAUUUAGUUGUUUUCUAAAAUAUUUCUAGUGCCUAUUAGAUGUUGAAGGAGACUUUGAUCAUGAAGUGUGUUCUCUGAGGAGCUGCUAUUUUUAUUUUUAUAUUUGUUUGAAGUGAAUUGUCCUGCUAAUUCUUUAACAUAAAAUAUCUUCAAUUACAUGAUUCAACAUUUUAAAAAGUGAUUAAGACAGAAGAAUAUGUGCUGGGAUUUAUUUUUGGAUCUUUGAAGUAGCAAAGAGUAGCAGAACUCCUUAAUCCAUAGAGUGGUUAUUUUGCUGUAUGAUGACUCUUGUAUUUACUCCCUGAAUUACCCUUUCCACUAAAAAGUAUUAAUGAGACAUUAGUAGGCUAUAGAAAAAAAUACUUCUGAUCUACUUAGAAAUAUUCAUGAGGUUUUCUCCUGGUGGAUUCACAUCAAAUUUUAUUUUUUAAAACCCCAAGUAUUUUUAUUUGAUGAUUAAUAAGUAAGAUGGAGGCUGGUAGGUGGAAAUCGCCAGCAGGAAAAUAAAAUGCUUUGGCUAAGCCGACAACUGCUACUGUCCUCCUCUGUACAGACUCUCCUGCUGAAGACUCACGGAGGCUUAUUUCAAGUCUUCUUUAGUUCAUUACCUGCAUGUUCAAAUGGAGCUGGUACUGUGACUCACAGCUUUCUGUCCAAGAAUGCGAUUUGUACCUCUACAAAUCUUCUACACCUUCUUCAUCUAGUAAACACUUACUCUACAGGUCUCAUCUCAAAUCUAUUACUAUAUGCAACUAUAGUACAUAAGCAAGCCAUUUAAAAAUGUUAAAGGAAGAUAUGCAUUGAUAUGGGUUGGCUGUUUUCCCACCCAAAUCUCAUCUUGAAUCGUAGCUCCCAUAAUCCACACGUGUCAUGGGAGGGACCCAAUGGAAGGUAAUUAAAUAAUCGGGGUGGGUUUUUCCCAUGCUGCUCUCAUGAUAGUAAAUAAGUCUCAUGAAAUCUGAUGGUUUCAUAAUAUAAAGGGCAGUUCCCCUGCACAUGCUCUCUUGCCUGCCACCAUGUAAGAUGGGCCUUUGCUCCUCCUUUGCCUUCUGCCAUGAUUGUGAGGCCUCUCCAGCCAUGUGGAACUGUAAGUCCAUUAAAUCUCUUUUUCUUUAUAAAUUACCCAGUCUUGGAUAUCUCUUCAUAGGAGUGUGAAAAUGGACUAAUAGAUACAUAUAGGUACACAUACAUGUAUACAUAAAGCCAUUCCAAAAGACUUUGCUUCCUGAAGUUUGUAAAUGUAAACAAAUUUAUUGUACCAUCAUUUAGGUUACUACGUUGCUCACUAACAUAGAAACAAUAUCUAAAAUGGGUACUUAUAGGGUUAUUAAAAUAUAGUAUGAAUAUGGCUACUGGAAAAAAGUCAAAGAUAUAUUUUGAGGCCACUACUCUACGUCUCUUGAUGUUCUCUUGUACACAUUUGAUAUUGCACAAAAGCCAAAAGUUUGGACUCCUUUGAUUAAAGGCAAGGUCAAGUAAUCCUGCUGGUUCUACCUCUCCUCCCAUUUCUUAAAUGAAAGGAUGUAGUCAUAUAAGGUGCUGUUUAGUAAAAUGGUGCCGUGAAUUCAGCAUGAAAUGUCUGGGCAAGUGUUUUUCAAGUUGUCACAUAUAUACUAUAUUUAUCUUCCUCCUUUUCCCUCCUCAACCUCAGUCCCCAUCACCCAGUGUUUCAUAAGGUUUUACUUUCUGUAGCUUAUACUGUAAAACCAGGAGUUCCCUUCCUCCUCUCCCAAAUAUAACCUUUUCUAAUAAUAUUAAUUGCACUUUCCCUAACUAUACAUACCUCCCUGGAGAUUUUGAACUGUAAUUCUUUCUCUCCUCCAUUUUCCUUGAGCAUUUUUCAUCUAGUGGAAUAUUCGGUGGCAAAGCUCUCAUUCUGGAAGAAGUUUAGCCAUGUAAGCAUAGAAGAAAUAAGCCAACAAUGGUAAACAUAGUUAAUGCAUGUAGUUAAGUCUUCUAAACAUGUCACUUGAAUGAUGUCACAUUUUGCUUUUUCAAACUAGGAAUCAACAAAAUGGAGGAACAUUUGAGGUUUGUUAAGAAAUUUCCCUUCUUAGCCAUAGAACUAAGAUAUUUUUAAAUAAAGAAGAUCAUAGUGGGCCAUAAAUGAUGUGCCUUUCUAGGAUCCCAAAAUGUUUUAUUGAUUGAAUUAUAUAGAGAGAUUUAAUGGAACCGUGGUUGAAAAAUGCUUUUAAAGUCUUUGAUCACUGGGAUAUCAAUGGAACAAAUGGGUUAAAACAUUUUCAGAAUUUAAUCAUUUAUCUAGGUAACAGGGUUGGGGGUAAAUGGCGGGAGAGAAGGGGAGGGCCGGGGCAUUAAUGAAUAGUACUCCAUGUAAAAAGAAGAAUUGACUAGUAACAUCUGUACUAUUUAAAUUAACAGGCUGGCAUAUAUUGUUGUGCAGGUUUUGCAUUGCCCAAUUCUUGGGGGGGGCGGCAUUCACAUUUGUAGUCAUUAUGGGUUCCUCUAUUUAUAAUGCCAAUUUUCUAGCAGAUGUUGGUUUAUUGCCUUGAGAAACUGUUAGAUUCCUCUAAUUUUUGCAAAGAUGGCUUUGGGAAGUUGAAAGAUUACCUGAUUACUAUUAGAGAAUCCUGCUACCAAUACAUACUUGUCUUGUAUAAUUUGGGCAAAAUAUAAUAUUCCUGAAUCUUAGAUUCCUUGUUUGUAAAAUGUUUAAAAUAUAUCUAAAUGUAAGAAUUGUUGUAGCAUAUAUAUGUGAGUACAUGAAUGUGGCCGUCACAGCAGCUGUAAGUGGAAGAUAUUAUAAAUAUUGUUAAAACCUUCUGAUGUUUUAUUUUAAGCUGAUAGUUUUUCUUUAUGCUGACUUUACAGUGAGUUUUAAACAUACACUUGAGUUUAUCAUUUGUAUAUAACUACUGAUAGAAAUCUGAUGAAAAACACUAAUAGUAGUUUAUAAAAGAUUUUUUUCAAUAUGAACUUUUUGUUUCCAUUGUGAGAAAUUAAAUUUCAAAAUGUAAUUAUUAAAUGUAUGCCUGACUUUCAAAUGUUUUUCUAUAUCCAGCUAAUUAAAAAUAUUUAUAACGUAGUAGUAGUUAAAUGUCAUGUUCGCCUUAUUAGAAAGAAUGCCUUCAAAUCAGUAUUAUCAUGAUUACCAUUUAUUUAACAUCUUCAGUAUGCAGGGCAUUUAUAAAAUCUGUAGAAAUUAAUUUUCUCUAAAUGCAACAAGCUUUAUGACCAGCACUCACUGUCUAUAAAAGAUGACUUGCUUGGCAGAAGAGGAAACAGUUUCUUCAGACCUUCCAGCCACAGUCAGCCCUGGUGACAUUGCAUAUCAGCUUCUAAAGGGCCUCGCACAUUCCUUGGCUUGUGAUGUCCCUUCCCCAUCAUCAAAGACAGCAACGUUGAGUUCCUGAUAUCAUACUGGCUUUUUUUGGGAAACUUCAGGCUACCAUACCUGCUUCAACUGUAGGAGAAUCUUAGUUCUGGAGAGUUGACCCUCCAGGCGAAGCAUUAGGCUUUGAUACAAUUUGUCUGGUACCGGCUGUAGAUCUGGUUUGGGCCCCAGACUAUCUUCCCUGUCCUCAAGAAUCAAAACCAACUUGGAAUGACUCCUGGCCCACUCAGCACCUUUCCGGAAGCCAGAAGAAUGAAGUGCCACACAUAUCAUCAGAGAGAAUUCCAAGGAAGAGGGAAUGGUCUAUAGUGUCUCAAGCCACAUUAAUCCUUCAAGAACAGUGUUAACUUUCUCAGGCUACUGGAACUCCACUUUUUGGAACUGUUAUAUUUACUGUUGGGGAGUGACUUUGGCACCAAGGAGAACUUGGCUCAAAUGAAUGGUUUUGGAUCACACAUCUUCAUGAUUUGGGAAUGAUAUGUGUGUUUAUUUUAUGAAAAAUGUUAGUAAUGAAGCAUUUAAAAUAUAUCAAAAGGAAAAUCUCCAAGAGUUGGUGAAUCAUGCUGUUGCCAAUAAUAGGCAUGUGACAUAACUGAACAUUUCAUCAUCUUCAGUAAAUAAUCAAGAUGACUUUCGCUCUUGUUGCCCAGGCUGGAGUGCAAUGGCAUGAUUUCGGCUCACUGCAACCUCCGCCUCCCAGUUAUUUUAUCAGUGGAAAUGCUUCAGAUCUUUCUAAAAUGGUGGUGCAGGUCUGCUGGAGUUUGCUGGAGGUCCACUCCAGACCCUGUUUGCCUGGGUAACACCAUCAGAAGCUGCAAAACAGCAAAGAUUGCUGCCUGUUCCUUCCUCUGGAAGAUUUGUCCCAGAGGGGCACCCGCCAGAUGCCAGCCAGACCUCUCCUGUAUGAGGUGUCUGUCAGCCCCUACUGGGAGAUGACUCCCAGUCAGGAUGCACGGGGGUCAGGUACCCACUGACGAGGCACUCUGUCUCUUAUCAGAGCUUGAACGCUGGGCCAGGAGAUCUGCUGCUCUCUUCAGAGUUGUCAGGAAGGGAUGUUUAAGUCUGCUGAAGCUGCACCCACCCACAGCUGCCCCUUCCCCCAGGUGCUCUGUCCCAGGGAGAUGGGGUUUUAUCUGUAAGUCCCUGACUGGGGCUGCUGCCUUUUUUUCAGAGAUGUCCUGCUCAGAGAUGAGGAAUCAUAAGCAAUUAGAUCUUUAAAAUGACUUUACAUUAGCCUACUUUCUUCCCAUAUGUACCAUAUAUAUGGUAUAAUCUGUAUGGGAAAGGAGGCAUUUCAAGGUUUAAAAGAAUAUAAAUUUUGGAUUUAAUGUUUUUGAUCUUAACAUAUUUGUGUCUCAACAGGGAAGACAAUUAGAAAUGUAACAAGAGGGUUCUAUUUGAUUCAUUUAAAAAAUGGAAAGUGGCACCCAGGGUGAGGCUGGCAUGUCAAACAAUUACUGAGAGCAAUGCCACCAUUUGCCUUUGUGUGUGUGUGUGUGUGUGUGUGUGAAUUAGGAUCUGUUUUUUAAUGGUCACUCUAUUUACAUAGUAACAUUCCUUGAAGCAAUAUAUGCAGAUUCAUUCUCGACAUAAGUUUUUUUGCUUUUGCUAAAAUAGUUUUUGCUUAAAAUUACUCCCUCUCUUUUCUGGCUACAACUACUUCCCAUCUUCUCCUUGAUUUUUUCAAUGACUUAGGAAAAGAUUAACAUGAUUUAAGUCCCGUUUCUCAUGACUGUAAUUACAAGACUAGUUUAGUUCCACUUUCUUGUAGACGAAUUCCUACAUUUUGCUGAUGUUUUGGCCCAUUCUUAUAAACUCCACUGUCUGGGGAGCAGGAAGCAUUCUGACAAAUUGUCUCUUUGGGAACAGAAGUAUAUUUUAUUGAGUCAAUUAUCUUGAUAAAUCACGUUAUAUUUGAGUUUUUGUAGUUUUGUGGAUAAACAUUUUUACUUGGAAUCCCUUUGUUGUUCACUGUGUUAGCACCCAUGAUUCAAACAAUCCUUGAUCUUGUCAUUAGUAGUAUAUGUAGAGAAGAAUUCACUGUAGGAAUUUAAGAAGUGACUUUUCAACACAGCUUCUCUAAUACAGUAUUUAAUAUCCCACACAUAAUUCAAAAUAAAAGUAAGAAAUAAAAGUCUAUUGGAAAGACUUAGCACAAAAUUCAGUGUAAGAUUCCAUGUAAGAAAUAUUGAUUAGAACAUAUUCUACGAGAGUCUAGAGAUGAGGUUUAUGUCUCAAAUGUUUGUUUUAAGCUUAUUAGAAAUACCAUCUAUUAGUAAAAAUUACUUCUUUGGAAUGAGAUGAGAAAAUUCUGAAUAUGGACUCAGAUGCCAAAAUAUGUUAAUAGCAUAAAAUACAGACAUGAACUGAGAAGGCGGUUUCACCAAAGACACAAGAGAAAUUAAAUCACAUACAUUUUACAAUGUAAACUAAAAUAGACUAUACAAAAAUACCUUGCUAACAGAGAAAUGGGUCAUCAGUCUGUUGUUGUUACUUUUUUUGUUGCUGUUUCUUAAUGGUUACUUAAUACCUACCUGUAGUGCAAUUAUAUGUUGUAGAAUUCUGUCACAAAAAAAAGGCCUAAACCAACGGGAUGACUUAAAAGAAAAAUAAACAUUUCAAAGAUUCAAGUAAUUUAUCAGGAAAUACUGAAAGUACAUCCUAUAAUUUUUUUUAAAACUUGAAAAUUGCACCUCACAUUUUGUCUGGAGAGUUAGGCAACAUCUGUAUUUUUCAACUUUGUCAGUUAUUCAGGACCUAUUACAGACCACACAACUUUGAGCUUUGAAAGAAAUCCACAGAUAUAUAAUUUAACUCAUUGUGUAGCUAAGGAAAUAGGACUGAAGAAAUUAAUGAUUUACUGGACAUCAAGUUACAUGUAAGCCGAUUUUUAACCUAGAUUUCCAAAUGUCCACUCCAAUGCUUUCACCACUAUUGCCUGGUAGGUAUCACAUAUUAUUAAGUUUGUUUUGUGUUUUAUGGAUUAUAUUUAGCAUAAUUCUGAGACUUAGAAGAGGUUCAAUAAAUGCUUAUUACAUGUAUAAAUGAAAAAUGGCCUGGAGGUAGCAUAAGUCAAUAUUCCAUUUUUCAUCAUAGCUUUCAUCAAACAAAUCUUAUAUUUAUUCCUGGAAUCUAUUGCACACCACAAAUCAAAUGUGCAUAGCAAAUAGAUUUUUUUUAAACCUAGCCCGGCCAAAUUGAUCUUGAACUUCUCCGUGCUUGUUCAACAAUUCUGGUGCAGAGUUUAAAAAACUUGUAGGUUUUAUUUUGAGGUUACAAGUUUCAGUCUGGGACUGAAAAGAUAUAAUAGUAAUCUGCAAAGUUCAAGGAUGUGUAAUUCUGGGAGCUCAGAAAGAAUUCAUAGCUCUUGUUCUCAGGAGCUCUGCAAACAAAGAUGCCAAAGGCAUAUCAGAUUGCCUUCUAAUACAGGGAGUAACAAGUAACAAUGACACAUUGAUUGCUUACUUAUGAAAAUUAUUUCCAUAAUGAUAUAAUAUUAGAAGACAAAUUCAGCUGCCUGACCUGCACAGGAGAUUGAAUUGAACGUAGGGUGUUAAAUCAGAGUGGAGUAGGGUUUGAAAAAACAGAAUAAAAGCAAUACCUAGGAAAACUACUGGGGUAGGGCAGAACAUGAGUUCUGAAAUAAGAAGAUCUGAACUUGAAAUGCUUCUUUACUGUGCAAUGUAGACAAUAUAAUCUGCUGAGCUCAAUUAGCUCAUGUAUAACCUGGAGUGAAGAUGCCUGUCUUGUACGGUUAUUGUAAGGAUAAAACAGGAUUCGGGGGAGAACCAGCCAGUGUAGGCAUUACCCAUUUUUGUGUUGUUUCAAAUAUAUUUUUUAUAUUUUAGAUACGUGUGUGUGCGUGUGUGUGUGUGUGUAUGUAUGUGUGUGUCUUCAUUGCUACAUUGAACAGUUUGACCCUAAGUAACUCACAAAUAGCAUUCUAGAGGUGCUUCAAAAAUACUAAGGAAGUCUAACCUUCUAGAUGUUAAAAUACAACUUUUAUACUGGUUCUACUUGCCUUCAAUGGAAAUUAUUGAAGAAAAAAUCAGCUGGGAAUGAGAAAAUAAUAAAACUGCUUUGAAAUGAUGAAGUAAAGAAAGUAGCUUGGAAAAAACAUGCCUGAAGGCAGGUCACAACUUGAAAUACAGUUACUAUGUUCCAUAAUGGGCAGAGUAAUAGAGUGUGUCUAAAGUACAACCAAAGUAGUCUAGUACACCACAAUAUCACAAUAUCCAGUAGUCCCCCCCACCUCUCUCUUUAAGCUCCCUCUGUCCUUUCUCUCUCUUUUCUGUCUUCUCUCUCUCUCUCUCCUCUCUCUCUGUACACUCUCUUUCUUCUCUCUGACUCCUCCCUCUCCUCUCUGACUCCUCUCUCUCCUUUCUCCUCCACCCUAUUCACAGGUUGGAUAACGUUUCUGAUUUAUUUGACAAAGGAUAUAGCUAUUCAGCUAGAAUGCAUGAGCCACUGAGAGCAAGUACGAAGCCAGUACACCUUGGCGGAGCUUCGUGAGGCCCAUCAGAUUCUCAGGUUGGAAUGCCAGGAAGUGUUGUUAGUGUUAGGAAGAUUCCAUGUGUAAGGCAGGAGCUCACUAGAUCUGAAGAGCUUAACAUAUGGCUGUACCAUAACUCUUUUUCAAUAGGGCUUACAAUGUUCUUUAGGGCAGCAUGUAGAUUUAAUAUUUCUAUUAAAGGGAAUGCUUGCAGACAUUAGGAGCCUCCAGGUUUUUAAGUCAACACAGCAUCAGGACCAUAUUGUUAUCCUGUGAAGAGCAAGGUGGCUGAUUUCUCUUCUUAUAUCCAGAUACAUUCUGGAUAAUCCAUUCCCCACAGUUACAGUCUGACUCUGGAUUUUGGAAUAUCUUUUUAUGAAAUGGAUAGGUCUGAUAAUGAAUUGGGUAAUUGGGUCUUAGGACUAGAAUCUUAAAUCCAUUCUCAAUUUUUAUGAAGUCACCAACCUUUUACACACAUGCUUUAAAAAAACCUGUCUACGAACAGAAACUCACUCCUGUGCUUAUCACCUGAUAGAAGAACAAAACUGAAUAUAAAACUCACAUAAUUUGUAUUGCUCAGUGUAUAACGCAUUAAAAACAAAUUUAUUUUUCUUUGAGGAAACUUUGUACUGCAUUCCCCUUUUUAAGAUCAUCAACUCGUUCCCCCUUUAAAUGCCUAAAUCAACACUAAUUAGAUUCGAGCAGCCAUUUCUUCAUGCUGGCCUUUUAUUUUUGUCCUCUUAUUUUUUCCCUUAACUCACCUAAAUCUUCCUCUCCUUUUUUAUCUUUUCUCCCUUCCUCCCUCCUUAUUGCACAUAAUUCAAAUAUCAAAAAUAUAAAGUUAUUUAAUGAAACAUUGCUUCCCCACUAGCUCUCUACUUUCUCAGUAUAUAUCUUGCCUCCUUCAUUACUCGGGUAAUCACUAUCACUUGUUUCUUUUUUCACUUAUAAAGAAUUUUUAUAUAAAUGCAAACCAAUAAAACAGGAAAUUUCAUUUCGUCUUUUAAAACUACAAGUAAUAACAUAUUAUACACGUUUUAUUCAACAACAGAUUGUAUUCAACCUUCUGCUGUUAAGAAGAGUUGCAAUAAAUAACCUCAUACAUGCAUCACUUCACACAUAUUAAUUAUAUCUCAAGAUAAUUCCUAGGUGUCACUUUGAUAAAUAUUACCAAAAUGCUCACCAAAGAUGCUGUACCAAUUUAUACUCUCAUCAGCCAUAGAUUAAAAUCUAUCCCAAAAUUCUUCCAGUUGAAUAUGUCAUGAACUUUUGGAUUUUUACCAAUCUGAAUGGGAAGAGGGAAACAUGUUUUUUCAGUGUUGUUUAAAUCUGUAUUUCUGUGUUGUGAAUAAGGUUAAAUAUCUUUUAAAAUAUUUUUAAAAAACUAUAUUUGCAUUCCUGUGAACUGUCUUUGCAUAUUCUUUGCCCACUUUUUUCUUUUGGGCUGUUGAUGAUUUUCUUAUCAAGUGGUAGGUCUUUAUAUGCCAGGAAGAUUAAGCUUUUGUGACAAAAAUUGGGAAUAUAUUUUUAAAUUUAGUUUGCCAUUUGCCUUUUUGACUACAUUGAUAAUGUUUAUUUUAUGUGUUGCCAUGCAAAAAUUUAAUUUUUAUGUAGUCAAAUGUAUUCAUUUUUUUCUCCCUACAGCCUCUGAAUAUUAUAUCAUAAUGAGAAAGUUUUUGUUUCUAAACUGAGGCUAUAAAUUAAUUCUUUCAUGUUUUCUUCUAUGAUUUUGUAUUCCAUAAUAAAUAUUUAACUUAUUUAAAUAUUUCUUCUAGGCCAGGUGCGGUGGCUCACACCUGUAAUCCCAGCACUUUGGGAGGCUGAGGCAGGUGGAUCACCUGAGGGCAGGAGUUUGAGACCAGCCUGACCAACAUGGUGAAACCCCGUCUCUACCAAAUACAAAAAGUCAGCCUGGUGUGGUGGCACAUGCCUGUAAUCCCAGCUACUUGGGAGGCUGAGGCAGGAGAAUCGCUUGAACCUGGUUGGGGAAGUUGUAGUGAGUCAAGAUUGUGCCAUUGCACUCCAGCCUGGGCAACAAGAGCUAAAAUCCGUCUCAAAAAAAAAUAAAAAUAAAUAAAUAAACAAAUGUUUCUUCUAGUAUAUAGUCCAUAUUCUGAGAUAGGCACCCAAUUUUAUUUUUUCUCAUUGGCUAUCUAGUUAUACCUACAUCUUGGUAUUAUUAAAAAGUCUAUCUUUUGGAGACUUCCGCUCCUGGGAAGAUGGAAUAGAGGUACAUUUCCCCCUUUCUCUCCCUAAGGAAAACUAAAAUUCUUGGACAUCAUUUGUAAAAUAAACAUGAGAAGACUCUGACAAGCAGAGACAAAGAUAUAAUAAUAAUGUCAUUGGAGCCCUGGAGUGAAGGAUAAAGAAGGCAUUGCUAAAUAAUUAAUUUAAGAAAUAAUGGCUGACAAUUUCUCAAAUUUGUCCAAAGCCAUAAACCUACAGAAUCAGGAAGCUGUGUGUAUUCCAAUUAGGGUAAAUCCCAAAAAACCACACCAAGACACAUGAUUAUCAAGCUUGUAAAAACUAAAAACGGGAAAAAAUCUUGAAAAGACCACAGUUACAUUAUCCCAUUGAGGGGAGACUUCUUAUCAGAAACCAUGAAGGCCAAAGGGGUGAUAUUUUGUUUCUCUCAGAAUUCUAUAACCAGCAAGCAUGUAAUUUGGGCUUUUAGAUAUAUUUAAGAUAUAUUUUAUCACAUUAAGAUGAGUCUACCUAAUACUGUAUUUUAAAAGAUUAUAUUCCAAGAGUGGAUUUUUAAUUGUCAAUCUUUGUGGAACACUUAGUUUAAUGUUGUGGUUCUCAAAGUUUUGGCUUCAGAACAACUUGUUUAUAACCUUAAAAAUUAUUGAGAACCCCAAAGGCUUUUGUUUAUUUAGUCUGUAUCUACCAAUAUCUUCUAUAUUAAAAAUUAGAACUGAGAUACUUAAAAAAUAUGUAUUAAUUUAUUUCGGAAUAAAGAUAAUAAACUCAUUACAUAUUAACAUAAAUUCAUAUAUUUAAAAGUACACUUUUCAAAGCAGAAAUGUCUCAUGAGAAGAUUGGCAUUGCUCUACAUUUGCUAAUCAUUUCAAUGUCUGACUUAAUAGAACACAGCUGGAGUCUCAUGUAUGUUUCUGCAUGCAAUCUGUUUUAGUAUAUUAUUUUGGUUGAAGUUUAUGUAGAAAAUCUGGUUUCACGCAGAUAUAUAGCUACAAAGUACAGAGUAUUUGAAUAGAUUUUUCAGAUAAUUGUAAAUAUCCUUCUUUGACAUGUCACUGAAACUCAACAUUAAAUAUUAAUAUUUAAAUAUUUUUAAGUAUUAACAUAUAUAUGGAAUAUUAAACCAUAUCAAUGAAAUUUUGGUAUUAUGUUACAUUAAAGUCCAUUGUCCAUUUUGUACUUCAAAUAGAUCUUUCCUCUCUUUGUGCUUUUGUGAAAUCACACUUUGGUCAUUUGAAAAAUACAGGUUCACUGACUUACACAGAGUUUCUAAAUAUUGACAUAUUUUAUUAAAUAACAUAAAGGAGGCUUUACUGACAUCAUCAAUGAUCUCAUCAGAAAAAUCUUCGCAUAUUGGAAAACUGAGAAGCUCAAAGUAGUAUAUAGAAUUUUUUCAAGAUUCUAAUUUCUGCUUAGUGUUUUUUCUUUAAGAGGCUCACUUGGUUCAUUUUUGAAAGUAUGUCUCCUAAAUAUGAGAAUCAGAUUAACCAUGGGCUGUCAAUUAUUCUUUCAAGUAAAGAUGGUGCUUCAUGAAAAGAAAAUCUGGUUCCACUUACAGCUGAAACAAUUGUCCAAGUACAUUUCCUUAGGAUAAUUAUCAUUCCUUGGUAUGUAGAAGUAUUCCAUGGACCUCCAUUUUGUUAUACAGAAUUUUGAAAAGACAUUCCUCAAGGACUGAAGUAUAAUAAGGUUAGGAUUUUUAAAAAUUUUUAAUUUUAGUGGGUUUAUAGUAGGUGUAUAUAUUUAUGGAGUACAUGAAAUAUUUUGAUACAGGCAUAUAAUGUGUAAUAAUCGUG